GUGCCGGCCGGGGGACGGACUGG
rnacentral:snRNA from 1 species